AUUGAACGCUGGCGGCAUGCCUUACACAUGCAAGUCGAACGGCAGCAUGAUCUAGCUUGCUAGAUUGAUGGCGAGUGGCGAACGGGUGAGUAAUACAUCGGAACGUGCCCUGUAGUGGGGGAUAACUAGUCGAAAGAUUAGCUAAUACCGCAUACGACCUGAGGGUGAAAGUGGGGGACCGCAAGGCCUCAUGCUAUAGGAGCGGCCGAUGUCUGAUUAGCUAGUUGGUGAGGUAAAGGCUCACCAAGGCGACGAUCAGUAGCUGGUCUGAGAGGACGAUCAGCCACACUGGGACUGAGACACGGCCCAGACUCCUACGGGAGGCAGCAGUGGGGAAUUUUGGACAAUGGGGGCAACCCUGAUCCAGCAAUGCCGCGUGUGUGAAGAAGGCCUUCGGGUUGUAAAGCACUUUUGUCCGGAAAGAAAUCGCACUUACUGAUAUUAGGUGUGGAUGACGGUACCGGAAGAAUAAGGACCGGCUAACUACGUGCCAGCAGCCGCGGUAAUACGUAGGGUCCAAGCGUUAAUCGGAAUUACUGGGCGUAAAGCGUGCGCAGGCGGUUGUGCAAGACCGAUGUGAAAUCCCCGGGCUUAACCUGGGAAUUGCAUUGGUGACUGCACGGCUAGAGUGUGUCAGAGGGGGGUAGAAUUCCACGUGUAGCAGUGAAAUGCGUAGAGAUGUGGAGGAAUACCGAUGGCGAAGGCAGCCCCCUGGGAUAACACUGACGCUCAUGCACGAAAGCGUGGGGAGCAAACAGGAUUAGAUACCCUGGUAGUCCACGCCCUAAACGAUGUCAACUAGUUGUUGGGGAUUCAUUUCCUUAGUAACGUAGCUAACGCGUGAAGUUGACCGCCUGGGGAGUACGGUCGCAAGAUUAAAACUCAAAGGAAUUGACGGGGACCCGCACAAGCGGUGGAUGAUGUGGAUUAAUUCGAUGCAACGCGAAAAACCUUACCUACCCUUGACAUGCCACUAACGAAGCAGAGAUGCAUUAGGUGCUCGAAAGAGAAAGUGGACACAGGUGCUGCAUGGCUGUCGUCAGCUCGUGUCGUGAGAUGUUGGGUUAAGUCCCGCAACGAGCGCAACCCUUGUCUCUAGUUGCUACGAAAGGGCACUCUAGAGAGACUGCCGGUGACAAACCGGAGGAAGGUGGGGAUGACGUCAAGUCCUCAUGGCCCUUAUGGGUAGGGCUUCACACGUCAUACAAUGGUGCAUACAGAGGGUUGCCAAGCCGCGAGGUGGAGCUAAUCCCAGAAAAUGCAUCGUAGUCCGGAUCGUAGUCUGCAACUCGACUACGUGAAGCUGGAAUCGCUAGUAAUCGCGGAUCAGCAUGCCGCGGUGACUACGUUCCCGGGUCU
rnacentral:rRNA from 1 species